GUUGCAGAUGAGAUUACUCCGAUAAAGUUGAUAACUUUGACUAAGUGCUUAUACUCUCAUGUUCGUACUUUAAUCUGUUAAUUCCAUUUUCAACUAUAUUGUUACAAGGCUUGCGUAUGUUGCUUUAAGUUAGGCUCUUCUUCCAUAUUUGGUAUGUUAGUUUCAUUUUUAACUAUAUCAUUUCCAAAUUUUAUUAAAUUAUCUUUAGUUUAUGUCCGUUUUUUAUCAUACUAAUCCAAUCCAUGGACAUGUUAUUUUCUAUUUAGACCCUCUAUUUUCUAUUUUUUUAAUGUGUUGUUUUCAUCCUUAAUUGUGUUGUUUCUUCCAGAUUAUGCCCUGUCAUGUUCACAUUUUGAUAUGCUGGAAUUGUAUGUAAACUUUAAGAUGUUGCUUUGGAUUUUCAUGGAUACAUUGCUACAUGUCUUAUUUCCUGUAGUGGUUAUCUCAUUUAGACUAAAAGUAUCAUUCUUUACAAUUUCUAUGAAUGUAUAUGUUGAUCGUAAGUAAAUGAGCUUCAAAGGAAGCUCUGUGAAUGAGCGAACUUAGAGAGAGAGGGACAACAAAACAGAGUAAGGUUAUGCAACAGUCUUUGUUUUGCAAGUUUCAAAAAGACUG
rnacentral:lncRNA from 1 species